GAAAAACCUGCCCUUCAAAGACAGACUGUGGUAACCACAGAACAUAACCAUUCUUAAUCACAGGACAACGAAGGUUACGUCAUAUCUGCAGCAUGUGUUAUGAAGCAGCCAAGUGUAGAGGAAGUUUUCUGUUUCAGCAGGUUGAGGUUCAUCAUGGUGGCCUCUCUGGCACUGGAACCAAACAUGGUACCCUUCAUCUCCCUCAAGAUGGUGUUCAGAGUAGUCCCCCCCAAAAAAUAAAAAAAUAAAAUGUAUGGUUAGAGUGAAUAACUAAGCACGUGAAAGCGAGGCAAGUACACAAAUAGUAUUGUCAAAGUAAGAGGGAAUACAUAUUAAAAAGGAGGAGGAGAUUAACAAUGAAGUCUAUGAAAUCAUGAAAAUUAGCAACUUUAGGUUCAAUAACUGUACCUUCUUCAUGAGUAGCAAACAUGGUCCCCUUCAUCUUCUUCGUAUCCAACAGGAAACAGUGCUCAGAGUAGUCCACCCCAAAAAACAAAACAAAAAAACAAAAGGAUGGUUAGAGUGAAUAACUGUAAGCACGAUAAAGCGAGGCAAGUACACAAAUAGUAUUGUCAAAGUAAGAGGGAAUACAUAUUAAAAAGGAAAAGGAGGAGGAGAUUAACAAUGAAAUCUAUGAAAUCAUGAAAAUUAGCAACUUUAGGUUCAAUAACUGUACCUUCUUCAUGAGUAGCAAACAUGGUCCCCUUCAUCUUCCUCGUAUCCAACAGCUCUGAGUUGCCAAACAAUGAAAAAAAAAAGGAAGUUAAAAACAAUUGGUAGAGUGAAUAACAGUAGCCACAAGACUCAGUAGCAAGUACAAAAGUAUACAGUAUACUAACCUUAUCGCAUAUGUUUAGAUCUAUUGAUUAUGGGGCUACAUCCUUUA